ensembl:lncRNA
CUCUCUCUGAUACUGAGAAACAAGGAAGGACAGUGCUAAUCCUUACCCAGGAUUGUACCAUUCCAACUGUAGUGUAUGUUGACUUUUUUUUUCUACUGAAAAACAAACCUGAUGGCAACAAGAGCAUAACAGGAGGAGUCAGGGUAGAUGGGCAAGGCUGACUGGCUAUUUAUCCUUCCCAACCUCUCCUCCACCUUCCUCCUCCGACUAUAAGUAGUGGUCCUGAGCUCCAGACCCCAGUCAGCUUGGACGCCAUCCUUUUUGCACUACAAGAUGCCUCUUCUCCAAGCAUUAGUGAGAUGCAGCAUUACUGCCUUGUUCCUGAGUCUCUGCCUACAACUAGUCACUGGGCAAGAUGAUGAUUACGAUAACCGGAAGCCACUUAUUGUGCAGAUGUCUCCAAUACAGAGAGCUAAAGCAGAUGAAGUGAGUGAAAUCAGGUGUAAUGUUUCAACUCAACUGAGAGAAUGCAUGCCGAUAAAGUUCUAUAUUUUGACCAGCACAAAAGCGGACUGUUCUCCCUUUAAUGAAUAUGAAGCCUGUAUAUGCCCAGGUGACAAUCCAAGGAAUUUCUACUGGAACAUACGCUGCAAAAGUAGUAUAAAUGUAGCCUGUGUGGCUGAUGCUACUGAGGAUGCUAACGUCUGUGAUCCAUACAUCAGUGUUAAGGUCACUUAACAUCUCAAGGAUGCCAGUCCAGCUCUGAAUUUUUGCGAGGAAGAAAGGAGAUAACAUACGUAAAGUACUUUGUAAGCCUGCCAUGUACAUGAUAGCUCCUAUUAUUUUCAUUAUCAUUAUCUACUCAGGAAUUAAUUUACUUCCAAAGAACUAUUCUGCUUCUCAUAGGUACAUUCAAUUAAAUAUGAAUCCAGAUAGAGGAAUUUUACAUAUCCAGUAGCACGAUAGGUGCCAACCAAACAUCACGACUAAAUUUAAAUCCUGUGAAAACUGAAAACACCUGAUCUACUUUUUCAACCUUACAUUUUUGGCUUGCCACUAUAGCUAUUGCACAGAAAACCACUAAGCACUUUCCUUGAUAAACUCUUAAGAUGAUCCACCCAUACAAAGCCAUUUUGGGGAAGGAUGACAGCCUGGAUGGAUGUGGGGAACUGUUGCUUGCCUCAUUCACUUUGGACCCAAAUGCUCUAGUCUUUAAUAAUCAUGACUUUUACCUUCAAAAGCCCAAAUCUGACCAACUUCUAACUCAACAAGCUUCCUUCCACCAAUGGUUUGAUGGGGAUGAGAGUUGGGAGAAGGCGUUAUUUCUAUAAACUGAAAAUUAAUUGGACAAAAUAAUCGUUCAUCUCUUUUUAUGCUGGAGCUUUAGGUUUCAGCAAAUUCAUUUGCCCCAAUUCCCUCAUUUUACACAUGAGAAAAUUGGGUCCUGAGAGUAAAUAAUUUAUGCAACCUCCCACAGAAAGUGAAUAGCAAAGCUAGAACUUUAACCCAGGUCUCCUGUUCUUUCAAGAAAUGAUCUAUAUGCUUCCCAAUUCAGUAAGCUUUUAUUGACAAUUCUGCCUAGCACCCAUUUUCUCACACACAACCUCAGGCAAACAAAACAUUUGUUGCCUCUAUGCCCACUCCUGCUUUGGCAAGACAUUUGGUGCCUUAUGCAAAUGAACAAGAUAAGUGCCUAUACCUUGGCCAACAAGAGGCAAUAUUGACAAGUAAUAUUGAC